AUCCAGCUGAUGAUUCACAAAUAGGACGAAACGCGCGUCCUGGAU
rfam:Schistosoma rodhaini strain Burundi genome assembly, scaffold: SROB_scaffold0014681